GGUUUAUUUUUAUUUUACCGAAUUCCAAAAAAGGUAACAACCUCUCUCCUUGUUAUGUUUGGUUGCCGACCCCUACCCUUGAACCACCAAGGUUCAAUUCCCAGCCACGGAUGACUUCACUGGGGAGCGUUACCGCAACUGAACGUGGUGAAGUAUGGUCAAACAACCUGGACAGCGGGAGAGGCCUUCAUCCAGCUGCGGAGCGACAGAGGGCCGUGUGUCGAUGUUAUUAUUAUAGAAUGGAGGGGAGUUCACCUGCGAGUGCCCAGUGCUUCGUGGCGUCGGACAAAGAACCACGGGCUCCCUCUCCUCCACGUGGCACCCCCGGGAGAUCUGAGCCGGUGAUGCGUGCCGCGCAUGAGUAAUGAGCACCUGGGUCCGCAGUGAGGCAGUGCUUCAGGAGGAGU